rnacentral:misc_RNA from 1 species
GGAAAGUCACUAAACAAUAGCUAUUAUGCUAAGAUCAAACAACCACAAAAUGGUUUUUAGACCAAAAUGCUAAAAAUAGCAACACAUGUUGAACAUAAUUAAAUAAAAUCUGCAAAAAACUAAAAUUCCACCAAAAGCUUUUCACAUGAGUCCUAUUAGUAUCUGAAUGACAUAUAAUACACUUGCAAACAAAUUGCAGAGGAACAUGUACAAACUCUGAAGGAAUCUAGGCUAAUAGUAGAGAGUGAAAAAGGACUACGGCAGCUAAUAAUAAACUUAAGAUAAGCAAACACUUUCUGAAUCAAAAGACUAGAGCUUGCAUUUUUAGAAAUCCAGUUCUCAAACCAAAACGAUAAGCAAGAAAUGCUAUUUGAGAAGAUUUUAAUAGAACUCAUAAAAAAAUUCUAAAUAAGGGUUGAAAGUUUUGCUAUAGCUCUCAACUCAAAUAAAGGCUAAUUUCCACACAACGUCCCUCAAUUUCAGGGGUUGUUUUAUUUCUGCACCUCAAUUUCAAUUUGUUACAAUAAAUUUACUCAACUUUAAUUAUAUGUAAGAGAAAGUCACUUUGACCUCUUUUAACUGAUUUCUAACUGACAUCCCCUUUACAACCCACUGCCCCCUCUCUUAUUUCUCCCCUCUCACCCUCUCUUCUCUGUCUCCUCU